rnacentral:ncRNA from 2 species
GCACGUUCUCAGGGCGGGGUGUAAUUCCCCACCGGCGGUAGCAGGCAGAAAUGCCUGAAGCCCGCGAGCGCUUCCAGCUUCUGCUGGAAGGUCAGCAGAUCCGGUCAGAUUCCGGAGCCGACGGUAUAGUCCGGAUGAAAGAGAGCAAGC